rnacentral:rRNA from 1 species
GAUGAACGCUGGCGGCGUGCCUAAUACAUGCAAGUCGAGCGAACAGACGAGGAGCUUGCUCCUCUGACGUUAGCGGCGGACGGGUGAGUAACACGUGGAUAACCUACCUAUAAGACUGGGAUAACUUCGGGAAACCGGAGCUAAUACCGGAUAACAUGUUGAACCGCAUGGUUCAACAGUGAAAGACGGUUUUGCUGUCACUUAUAGAUGGAUCCGCGUCGCAUUAGCUAGUUGGUAAGGUAACGGCUUACCAAGGCAACGAUGCAUAGCCGACCUGAGAGGGUGAUCGGCCACACUGGAACUGAGACACGGUCCAGACUCCUACGGGAGGCAGCAGUAGGGAAUCUUCCGCAAUGGGCGAAAGCCUGACGGAGCAACGCCGCGUGAGUGAAGAAGGUCUUCGGAUCGUAAAACUCUGUUAUUAGGGAAGAACAAAUGUGUAAGUAACUGUGCACGUCUUGACGGUACCUAAUCAGAAAGCCACGGCUAACUACGUG